rnacentral:misc_RNA from 1 species
GGCAAGUUUGCUUAUUCAAAUUAUCAUACCACCUGAAACACAUGUGAGUUAGAAGAUUUGAUUUCAGUUAUCAAUACAAUGCUCAUGUUGUUUAAAGUAAAUAUAUGCCUGAAACAAAUUCUUAUUCCUAGUGUUGCCAACAAAAACUGCAUCAGUAUCAAAAAGAAAUCGCUGCAAUUGACCAACUGACUUCAACAUAUCACAAUUCCACUUGCUAGAAACAAUUCAAGUAUGAUCAGAAGGCUCAACGCAUCAUUUUUCUUGGCUUCUUCACAAAACUUAGCUUUAUCUUCUUAAGACGUAGCCUCUUCCUUGCCAUUUUCUCAGGCAAUGUCUCCCUCUUCUUCUCUUUCUUCACAGCCUUUGGCUUCAAAAACUUUGCAUCCACUCUAUACUCUUUGGGUGUCACUGGCACCCCAUUACUCAAAGCUUCAUUAAAAAGGGCAUUUGCCUUAUCGAGACGAUUAUGAGCACACCACUUCCCAAUCAACAAAUCAUAAGUUUUUAUCCCAGGUUUACAUCCAUCUGCCUUCAUCGUCUCAAACACAGUCAUGGCAUGCUCAAUCCUCUCAAUACCGCACAAAACCUUCAAAAUGCUGUAAUAAGCCUUCUUAUCAAGCUUAUCUCCAUACCCAGCACUCUUCAUUCUAUCAAUCAUCUCAUCCCCCUCUCCCACCCUCGCUGCCUGAUACAAACUCUUAAUCAAAACAAGAAACGUAGUCUCAUCGGGAUUACACCCCCAUUCCCCUAUCCUGUAAAACAAAUUCAAAGCAUCCUGAGUUUUCCUCAUCUUGCAUAAAUUAUUGAUCAAGACAUUGAAUGUCUCCACAUUUCUUGGAACCCCACGAGAGUCCAUUUCUACCAAUACCUUCUCUGCCUCAGAAUGUAACCUAAACGGAUCUUUUGCCCUACAAAGCUUGCAAACACAAUCAAGAAUCGCAUUAUAAGCCAUUGUACCGAUCUCAAAACCACCACUAUACAUCUCCCCAGCCAACCUUUUAGCCUCCUCAAGUUUCCCAUCAACACACCAACCUUUGAUCAACAAAUCACAAAUUAUCUCAUCUGGGAAAAUCUCAUUAGCCAAGUUUUUCACCAUUCUCUCUGCAUAACUCGCGUACCCAUUGUCACACAACUUAUUCACUAUCAAUGUAAGAGACUCCCUAUCUCGCUUAAACCCAUAAUCUCUGUCCAUCCUAUCAAAAAACCCAACAACCUUGGUAGGCCUCCCUGCCCGUACAAGCCUAUCAACCACUGAUUCCAGACUUUUAGACCCAAUGACACCUUUACCUUCACGAAGUAGCUCAUGGGUAGAUUGGAAAUCCUUCCUUCGACCAAAGUAAUCAACGAAAAACGAUACCGUUUCAUCCGUGUGCUUAAACCCAGCAGCCGUGACCAGCCACUGGUGAA